GCAUAUCAAUAAGCGGAGGAAAAGAAACCAACAGGGAUUGCCUUAGUAGCGGCGAGUGAAGCGGCAAUAGCUCAAAUUUGAAAUCUGGCGCCUUCGGUGUCCGAGUUGUAAUUUGAAGAAGGUAUCUUUGGUUUUGGCUCUUGUCUAUGUUCCUUGGAACAGGACGUCACAGAGGGUGAGAAUCCCGUGCGAUGAGAUGCCCAAUUCCAUGUAAAGUUCCUUCGACGAGUCGAGUUGUUUGGGAAUA
rnacentral:rRNA from 1 species